rnacentral:rRNA from 1 species
GGCCCUUUGUUAAAAGAAGAUAGGGGGUCUAGCCUGCCCAGUGACAGUAGUUAAACGGCCGCGGUAUCCUAACCGUGCAAAGGUAGCGUAAUCAUUUGCUUAUUAAUUGUGGGCUAGUAUGAACGGCUUGACGAGGGUGAGGCUGUCUCCUGACAGGAUAUAUGGAAAUUAUUUUUUAGGUGAAGAGACCUAAAUAUAGCUAAGGGACGAUAAGACCCUAUCGAGCUUUAGUGGUAUCUCAUAGUGCGAUGUUGGUAAAUUUAUAUUUAUUUUGUGAGAGAAUCUUUGGUUGGGGCGAUCGUAAAGUAGAAGAAACCUUUAAUGUUUAAGUGUUGGCUGAUAGGUUAAAGAUCUGGCAUAUUAUGCAGAUAGAAAGAAUAAGCUACCGUAGGGAUAACAGCGUAAUCCUUUUGGAGAGUUCUUAUUGAGAAAAGGGCUUGCGACCUCGAUGUUGGACUAAGAUUUCCUGAGGGUGUAGCAGCUUUCGAGGGUUGGUCUGUUCGACCAUUAAAAUCUUACA